GUGAAGAUAGCUCAAUUGGGAGAGCAACUGACUCAUAAUCAGUGGGUUACGGGUUCAAUCCCCGUUCUUCAGACCA
rnacentral:tRNA from 1 species